AUUGAACGCUGGCGGCAUGCCUUACACAUGCAAGUCGAACGGCAGCGCGGGAGCAAUCCUGGCGGCGAGUGGCGAACGGGUGAGUAAUACAUCGGAACGUGCCCAAUCGUGGGGGAUAACGCAGCGAAAGCUGUGCUAAUACCGCAUACGAUCUACGGAUGAAAGCAGGGGAUCGCAAGACCUUGCGCGAAUGGAGCGGCCGAUGGCAGAUUAGGUAGUUGGUGAGGUAAAGGCUCACCAAGCCUUCGAUCUGUAGCUGGUCUGAGAGGACGACCAGCCACACUGGGACUGAGACACGGCCCAGACUCCUACGGGAGGCAGCAGUGGGGAAUUUUGGACAAUGGGCGAAAGCCUGAUCCAGCCAUGCCGCGUGCAGGAUGAAGGCCUUCGGGUUGUAAACUGCUAUUGUACGGAACGAAACGGUCUUUUCUAAUAAAGAAGGCUAAUGACGGUACCGUAAGAAUAAGCACCGGCUAACUACGUG
rnacentral:rRNA from 1 species